GACGAACGCUGGCGGCGUGCUUAACACAUGCAAGUCGAACGGAAAGGCCCUGCUUUUGUGGGGUGCUCGAGUGGCGAACGGGCGAGUAACACGUGAGUAACCUGCCCUUGACUUUGGGAUAACUUCAGGAAACUGGGGCUAAUACCGGAUAGGAGCUCCUGCUGCAUGGUGGGGGUUGGAAAGUUUCGGCGGUUGGGGAUGGACUCGCGGCUUAUCAGCUUGUUGGUGGGGUAGUGGCUUACCAAGGCUUUGACGGGUAGCCGGCCUGAGAGGGUGACCGGCCACAUUGGGACUGAGAUACGGCCCAGACUCCUACGGGAGGCAGCAGUGGGGAAUAUUGCACAAUGGGCGGAAGCCUGAUGCAGCAACGCCGCGUGCGGGAUGACGGCCUUCGGGUUGUAAACCGCCUUCGCCUGUGACGAAGCGUGAGUGACGGUAAUGGGUAAAGAAGCACCGGCUAACUACGUG
rnacentral:rRNA from 1 species